UGAAGUUAAGCAUCGUAGAGCCAGGUCAGUACUUAGAUGGGGGACCGCUUGGGAACACCUGGUACUGUAAGC